rnacentral:rRNA from 1 species
UACGAAGGGGGCUAGCGUUGCUCGGAAUCACUGGGCGUAAAGGGUGCGUAGGCGGGUCUUUAAGUCAGGGGUGAAAUCCUGGAGCUCAACUCCAGAACUACCUUUGAUACUGAAGAUCUUGAGUUCGGGAGAGGUGAGUGGAACUGCGAGUGUAGAGGUGAAAUUCGUAGAUAUUCGCAAGAACACCAGUGGCGAAGGCGGCUCACUGGCCCGAUACUGACGCUGAGGCACGAAAGCGUGGGGAGCAAACAGG